AGUGGAAUAACUGGGUCAAAUGGUAGUUCUAUUUCAAGUUUUUUGAGGAAUCUCUAUACUGCUUUCCAGAGUGGUUGCACCAAUUUACAGCCCCACCAGCAUU
rnacentral:pre_miRNA from 1 species